GAAGGAACGUUGAAGACGACGACGUUGAUAGGCCGGGUGUGUAAGCGCAGCGAUGCGUUGAGCUAACCGGUACUAAUGAACCGUGAGGCUUAACCUUAC
rnacentral:rRNA from 1 species